rnacentral:rRNA from 1 species
GAGUUUGAUCAUGGCUCAGAACGUACGCUGGCGGCACGCCUAACACAUGCAAGUCGAACGAAGUAGCAAUACUUAGUGGCAGACGGGUGAGUAACAUGUAGGUAUCUGCCCUAUGGCCUGGAAUAACACGAGGAAACUUGUGCUAAUACCGGAUAAGUCUUUACGGAGAAAGCUUUAUGCACCAUUGGAUGAGCCUGCACUUGAUUAGUUUGUUGGUAGGGUAAUGGCCUACCAAGACUGUGAUCAAUAGCUGAUUUGAGAGGAUGAUCAGCCACAUUGGGACUGAGACACGGCCCAAACUCCUACGGGAGGCAGCAGUGGGGAAUCUUGCACAAUGGAGGAAACUCUGAUGCAGCGAUGCCGCGUGAGUGAAGAAGGCCCUUGGGUUGUAAAGCUCUUUCGUCGGGGAAGAAAAUGACUGUACCCGAAUAAGAAGGUCCGGCUAACUUCGUGCCAGCAGCCGCGGUAAUACGAAGGGACCUAGCGUAGUUCGGAAUUACUGGGCUUAAAGAGUUCGUAGGUGGUUGAAAAAGUUAGUGGUGAAAUCCCAGAGCUUAACUCUGGAACUGCCAUUAAAACUUUUCAGCUAGAGUAUGAUAGAGGAAAGCAGAAUUUCUAGUGUAGAGGUGAAAUUCGUAGAUAUUAGAAAGAAUACCAAUUGCGAAGGCAGCUUUCUGGAUCAUUACUGACACUGAGGAACGAAAGCAUGGGUAGCGAAGAGGAUUAGAUACCCUCGUAGUCCAUGCCGUAAACGAUGUGUGUUAGACGUUGGAAAUUUAUUUUCAGUGUCGCAGCGAAAGCGAUAAACACACCGCCUGGGGAGUACGACCGCAAGGUUAAAACUCAAAUGAAUUGACGGGGACCCGCACAAGUAGUGGAGCAUGUGGUUUAAUUCGAAGAUACGCGCAGAACCUUACCAACACUUGACAUGUUCGUCGCGACUCUAAGAGAUUAGAGUUUUCGGUUCGGCCGGACGAAACACAGGUGCUGCAUGGCUGUCGUCAGCUCGUGUCGUGAGAUGUUGGGUUAAGUCCCGCAACGAGCGCAACCCUCACUUUUAGUUGCCAUCAUUAAGUUGGGCACUCUGAAAGAACUGCCAGUGAUAAGCUGGAGGAAGGUGGGGAUGACGUCAAGUCCUCAUGGCCCUUACGUGUUGGGCUACACACGUGCUACAAUGGUAUCUACAACAGGAAGCAAGACUGCGAGGUCAAGCAAAUCCUUAAAAGAUACCUCAGUUCGGAUUGCACUCUGCAACUCGAGUGCAUGAAGCUGGAAUUACUAGUAAUCGUGGAUCAGCGUGCCACGGUGAAUGCGUUCCCGGGUCUUGUACACACCGCCCGUCACACCAUGGGAGUUGGUUCUACCUUAAGGCAAGGUUUAAAACCCUUGACCACGGUAUAGUCAGCGACUGGGGUGAAGUCAUAACAAGGUAGCCGUA